UCGCCAGCGGCGAGUUUUUGGCGAAACGAAACUGGUCAAAUUCGCCCAUCCCUAGUAGUGUAUUCCGCUAAUUAAAAGUUUUUUUGUUCAGAUUUUUUGUCCCGCCCUCUAUGUUAAGCUUGGGGAUUUCCCAUGGGUGAAUGCUGACAGUGGGUGACUAUGGGAAAACAGGAAAUUGUUUAUACUUACCGUAAUUUCUGUUUCCUGGUCACUUCCAUGGCAGUAUUCACCAGGGAGUUUCCCACCAUUAAGGGGACAGCUUUAAUACUGAGACAAGGGGGAUAGGGAAGAGGUGGUACUUUUAAAUUAUUAGUGGGAGGUCCUGUCUGCUGGCCUGCAGGGGGAAUUAACCCAUGGGUGGAGAAGGAGGAGCUGCAGGACCCUUUUUCUGUGGAGAGGAAUGCUGCUGGAACCAGUGAAUAACUACAGAAGGCUGCUGCAGCAGAACAUGCAGGACAGAAGGCUUCUGUGCAGGAGGAGAAAAUUAUGGGGGAAGGUCCAACUACUGGAGAGGAAAAUUUGGUAAAGAGCAGCAGGAGGGCCCCCCCCUGAAAAACAGCAGUAGGAGUCUCCCCCCCCCCUGAAAAACAGCGGCAGGAGAACAGGAGGAGAAAAUUAUGGGGGGAGGAUUGUAGCAGAACCAGUCAAGAGCAGGGAUCUUCCGUGGAACAACCUGAGAAAGCUCCAAUACCGCAACUGUAAGAGGAAUCCCCUCCUGAGGUGAUAGAAAACAGCUGUAAAGAAGCUCUUCCCGUGGAGGAGCAGCAGGAUGCUCUUCCUGUAGAGAAGGAGGAGCUGCAGGAUGUACUUCCUGUGGAGGAAGAGAAGGAGGAGCUGCAGGAUGUUCUUCCUGUGGAGGAAGAAAAGUACGAGCUGCAGGAUGCUCUCCCUGCAGGACACGCUGGCGUUUUGCCAGAAGAGUCUUCUGUUGUCACCAGCGCACCCCUGAAUCCCUUCAUGUUAUCUCUACUCUGUUUGAAUUGAUGUAUGUUUGUUUAGGAGUAUAUUAUUUCCACCCCCACUCCCCACCCUUUCUAGUGCUGGGUGGGGUUUGGAUCAGUAGCUGUUAGGGAUGCCCAACCUGAAUUGACUGUCAAUAUCAAUAAAUCAUGUCACCUACGGGUUUCCCAUAAACCUGCUGCUGUGUUUUUCUUGAUUUUUUUGUUUAAAUGAAUAUUUUUAUUAAUCUUUAAAUGUGUGCAAAGUGAUAGUCCUCAAAAAAUGGCACAAGCAAAACCAAGGUAUUCCAUAUAUAUAUACCUUCCAUUAACUGAAUUUGAACAUACAGUCUGGUAUACCAUUUACAGGAUAAUGUUAACGCAACCAUCAUCCUUCCAUUCAUCUAAAUAUACAGUAAUUGUAAAAAAGACAGAUCCUGCCGAAACCCCCUUAAAAGUCAAAUGCUAAGGAGAGCUGUAGGACUUUCGUUGCCAUAUCGGUAUAUUAACCAUGGGGUCGAAAGGUUCCUAAACAAAAUGCUAGAUAUUUUUUCUUUGUUAUUAUCCAAUUUUUGCAAUAAACAACUGGAAUUGA